rnacentral:rRNA from 1 species
GUGGGGAAUAUUGGACAAUGGGCGAAAGCCUGAUCCAGCCAUGCCGCGUGUGUGAAGAAGGUCUUCGGAUUGUAAAGCACUUUAAGUUGGGAGGAAGGGCAGUAAGUUAAUACCUUGCUGUUUUGACGUUACCGACAGAAUAAGCACCGGCUAACUUCGUGCCAGCAGCCGCGGUAAUACGAAGGGUGCAAGCGUUAAUCGGAAUUACUGGGCGUAAAGCGCGCGUAGGUGGUUCGUUAAGUUGAAUGUGAAAGCCCCGGGCUCAACCUGGGAACUGCAUCCAAACAUGGCGAGCUAGAGUACGGUAGAGGGUGGUGGAAUUUCCUGUGUAGCGGUGAAAUGCGUAGAUAUAGGAAGGAACACCAGUGGCGAAGGCGACCACCUGGACUGAUACUGACACUGAGGUGCGAAAGCGUGGGGAGCAAACAGGAUUAGAAACCCGGGUAGUCC